rnacentral:rRNA from 1 species
UACGGAGGGUGCAAGCGUUACUCGGAAUCACUGGGCGUAAAGCGCGCGCAGGCGGUUUGAUAAGUUGGAAGUGAAAUCCUAUGGCUCAACCAUAGAACUGCUUCCAAAACUGUCAAACUAGAGUGUGGGAGGGGAAGAUGGAAUUAGUUGUGUAGGGGUAAAAUCCGUAGAGAUAACUAGGAAUACCAAAAGCGAAGGCGAUCUUCUGGAACACUACUGACGCUGAGGCGCGAAAGCGUGGGGAGCAAACAGGAUUAGAUACCCUGGUAGUCCACGCAGUAAACGAUGAAUGUUAGUCGUUGGGUAGCAAGUCUAUUCAGUGAUGCAGUUAACACAUUAAACAUUCCGCCUGGGGAGUACGGUCGCAAGAUUAAAACUCAAAGGAAUAGACGGGGACCCGCACAAGUGGUGGAGCAUGUGGUUUAAUUCGAAGAUACGCGAAGAACCUUACCUAGCCUUGACAUUGAUAGAAUCUUCCAGAGAUGGAGGAGUGCCUUUCGGGGAACUUGAAAACAGGUGCUGCACGGCUGUCGUCAGCUCGUGUCGUGAGAUGUUGGGUUAAGUCCCGCAACUAGCGCAACCCUCAUCACUAGUUACUAACAGUUAGGCUGAGGACUCUAGUGAGACUGCCUUCGUAAGGAGGAGGAAGGUGAGGACGACGUCAAGUCAUCAUGGCCCUUACGGCUAGGGCAACACACGUGCUACAAUGGUUAGGACAGUGAGAAGCAAUACCGCGAGGUGGAGCCAAUCUAUAAACCUAAUCUCAGUUCGGAUUGUAGUCUGCAACUCGACUACAUGAAGCUGGAAUCACUAGUAAUCGUAGAUCAGCUAUGCUACGGUGAAUACGUUCCCGGGUC